UACGGAGGGGGGCUAGCGUUGUUCGGAAUUACUGGGCGUAAAGGGCGCGUAGGCGGCAUGACAAGUCACUUGUGAAAUCUCUGGGCUUAACCCAGAACGGCCAAGUGAUACUGUCGCGCUAGAGUGCGGAAGGGGCAAUCGGAAUUCUCGGUGUAGCGGUGAAAUGCGCAGAUAUCGGGAGGAACACCAAUUGCGAAGGCAGCUCGCUGGGACGUUACUGACGCUGAGACGCGAAAAGCGUGGGGGAGCAAACAGGGAUUAGAA
rnacentral:rRNA from 1 species